AUUGAACGCUGGCGGCAGGCCUAACACAUGCAAGUCGAACGGUAGCACAGAGAGCUUGCUCUCGGGUGACGAGUGGCGGACGGGUGAGUAACGUCUGGGAAACUGCCCGAUGGAGGGGGAUAACUACUGGAAACGGUAGCUAAUACCGCAUAACGUCGCAAGACCAAAGUGGGGGACCUUCGGGCCUCACACCAUCGGAUGUGCCCAGAUGGGAUUAGCUAGUAGGUGGGGUAAUGGCUCACCUAGGCGACGAUCCCUAGCUGGUCUGAGAGGAUGACCAGCCACACUGGGAAUGAGACACGGUGCAGACUCCUACGGGAGGCAGCAGUGGGGAAGAUUGCACAAUGGGCGCAAGCCUGAUGCAGCCAUGCCGCGUGUAAGAAGAAGGCCUUCGGGUUGUAAAGUACUUUCAGCGGGGAGGAAGGCGGUGAAGUUAAUAACUUCACCGAUUGACGUUACCCGCAGAAGAAGCACCGGCUAACUCCGUGCCAGCCGCCGCAGUAA
rnacentral:rRNA from 1 species